rnacentral:rRNA from 1 species
GCCUUUGAGUGGGGGAUAACAGUUCUAACGGGCUGCUAAUACCGCAUGACGCUGUCGAUCGCAUGGUCGAUAGUUAAAGAUGGCCUCUACAUGUAAGCUGUCGCUCGAAGAUGGUCCCGCGUCCUAUUAGCUUGUUGGUGGGGUAACGGCCUACCAAGGCAUCGAUGGGUAGCCGGCUUGAGAGAGUGGUCGGCCACACUGGGACUGAGAUACGGCCCGG